AACGAACGCUGGCGGCAUGCCUAACACAUGCGAGUCGAACGAGACCUUCGGGUCUAGUGGCGCACGGGUGCGUAACGCGUGGGAACCUGCCCUUAGGUUCGGAAUAACUCCCCGAAAGGGGUGCUAAUACCGGAUAAUGUCUUCGGACCAAAGAUUUAUCGCCUUUGGAUGGGCCCGCGUUGGAUUAGCUAGUUGGUAGGGUAAAAGCCUACCAAGGCGACGAUCCAUAGCUGGUCUGAGAGGAUGAUCAGCCACACUGGGACUGAGACACGGCCCAGACUCCUACGGGAGGCAGCAGUGGGGAAUAUUGGACAAUGGGCGAAAGCCUGAUCCAGCAAUGCCGCGUGAGUGAUGAGGGCCUUAGGGUUGUAAAGCUCUUUUACCCGGGAUGAUAAUGACAGUACCGGGAGAAUAAGCUCCGGCUAACUCCGUG
rnacentral:rRNA from 1 species